rnacentral:rRNA from 1 species
UACGUAGGGGGCAAGCGUUAUCCGGAUUUACUGGGUGUAAAGGGAGCGUAGACGGCCAGACAAGUCUGAAGUGAAAAUCCAGCGCUUAACGUUGGAAGUGCUUUGGAAACUGCCGGGCUAGAGUGCAGGAGGGGCAGGCGGAAUUCCUAGUGUAGCGGUGAAAUGCGUAAAUAUUAGGAGGAACACCAGUGGCGAAGGCGGCCUGCUGGACUGCAACUGACGUUGAGGCUCGAAGGCGUGGGGAGCAAACAGG